CAGCCGCCGCGGGAAUACGGAGGGUGCAAGCGUUAAUCGGAAUUACUGGGCGUAAAGCGCACGCAGGCGGUCUGACAAGUCAGAUGUGAAAUCCCCGGGCUUAACCUGGGAACUGCAUUUGAAACUGUCAGGCUGGAGUCUUGUAGAGGGGGGUGGAAUUCCAGGUGUAGCGGUGAAAUGCGUAGAGAUCUGGAGGAAUACCGGUGGCGAAGGCGGCCCCCUGGACAAAGACUGACGCUCAGGUGCGAAAGCGUGGGGAGCAAACAGGAUUAGAUACCCCGGUAGUCCCUGUCUCUCAUAC
rnacentral:rRNA from 1 species